AUGCUCCAGACAUGAUUCAAUUAGUGGAUCAGUCUUAUCAUAUAACCAUUUCAUUCACAUCUUCGUAUUAUGAGGAGUGCAGUGGCUUCUACAUAUAUAUAGCUUGACAUUCAGGUUGGUUGAGUUGGUUCAUCCAUAGUCUGUACGUGUUGUUGUUGGAUAGGGUUAGAUAUAUUAUUUUUGGACCACUAUUUUGGUAAUUACUUUUUCAAACUACUCUAGCUCAUGCUUUUUGUGAAGUUAGCAGGCCAGGUGAACUAAAAGAAAAAUUUUGUUGUUUUGUGCUGACUGAUUCAGGUGGUCAGAUGUUGCUUGGAGCAUGCAGCUUCGGUUGCUAAAACUUUCUUGAUGUCAGAUUGUGUGGUUGUUGAGAUCAAAGAGCCUGAGCCAAUGGCUGCUGCCGGGAACCCUAUGGACAAUUCAGGAUACGGUUACUAAACUAUUGUAGAAGGUGUGCUUGUGGGGGACAAAGGUAAAAGAACCAAGCCAACUUCAAUUUGGGUGGGUAACAAAAUGCAAAGAAGGGGGGAGUUCUUUGUUUUUUGUAAUUUUAGUAUGCUUGGAAGAAUCUGGUGAGGUUAGCUUGUCCGUGUACCGGCUUGUAGCAGCUUGCAAUUUGGAUGUACAAGUUGAAAUCUGAGUGCAGAAGAAUAAUAUUUUUCACCUCUGGUCUUGGUUAUGA